rnacentral:rRNA from 1 species
AACGAACGCUGGCGGCAGGCCUAACACAUGCAAGUCGAACGAGAAGAAAGCUUCGGGUGGUGGACAGUGGCAGACGGGUGAGUAACGCGUGGGAACGUGCCUUUCGGUUCGGGAUAACCCAGGGAAACUUUGGCUAAUACCGGAUACGCCCUCCGGGGGAAAGAUUCAUUGCCGAAAGAUUGGCCCGCGUCGGAUUAGCUAGUUGGUAGGGUAAUGGCCUACCAAGGCGACGAUCCGUAGCUGGUCUGAGAGGAUGACCAGCCACACUGGGACUGAGACACGGCCCAGACUCCUACGGGAGGCAGCAGUGGGGAAUAUUGGACAAUGGGCGAAAGCUUGAUCCAGCCAUGCCGCGUGGGUGAAGAAGGCCUUAGGGUUGUAAACCCCUUUCAGCGGGGAAGAUAAUGACGGUACCCGCAGAAGAAGUCCCGGCUAACUCCGUGCCAGCCGCCGCCGUAAAAC